UCUACCCUCCAAUAAAUACACCUUCAGUACCUGGAGUAUUGCCUGUAUAUAUUCUAUUGCCUUGUAUUGUUGGACAAAUUAUCAGUGUCUGUCUAAUGCAGAGCACCUCUGAGGCUGUGGGCCGGAGUGAAAAGCGGAACCUGAGUGCAGUGGACUACUCACAGAAGCACACACUGACACACAAACAUACUCACAGAUACACACUGACACACUGACACUCACUGAUGCACACUCAUACUCACAGAUACACACUGACACUCACAGAUACACACACAUACUCACAGAUACACACCGACACUCACAGAUACACACACAGAUGCGCAUACAGUGCCUUGCAAAAGUAUUCACCCCCUCUGAAUUUUAUGUGAUGGAUCAGAACACAAUAGUCUAAGUUGGUGAAGUGAAAUGAGAAAAAUAUACACAUAAAAGUAUUUUCUAGAAAUAGAAAACAGAAAAUUGGCAUGUGCGUAUGUAUUCACCCCCUUUGUUAUGAAGCCCAUAAAAAGCUCUGGUGCAGCCAAUUACCUUCAGAAGUCACAUAAUUAGUGAAAUGAUGUCCACCUGUGUGCAAUCUAAGUGUCACAUGAUCUGUCAUUACAUAUACACACCUUUUUUGAAAGUCCCCAGAGGCUGCAACACCUAAGCAAGAGGCACCACUAACCAAACACUGCCAUGAAGACCAAGGACCUCUCCAAACAAGUAAGGGACAAUGUUGUUGAGAAGUACAGGUCAGGGUUAGGUUUUAAAAAAAUAUCCAAAUCUUUGAUGAUCCCCAGGAGCACCAUCAAUUAUAUCAUAACCAAAUGGAAACAACAUGGCACAACGGCAAACCUGCCAAGAGACGGCUGCCCACCAAAACUCACGGACCGGGAAAGGAGGGCAUUAAUCAGAGAGGCAGCACAGAGACCUAAGGUAACCCUGGAGGAGCUGCAGAGUUCCACAGCAGAGACUGGAGUAUCUGUACUUAGGACGACAAUAAGCCGUACGCUCAAUAGAGUUGGGCUUUAUUGCAGAGUGGCCAGAAGAAAGCCAUUACUUUCAUCAAAAAACUAAAUGGCACGUUUUGAGUUUGCGAAGAGGCAUGUGGGAGACUCCCAAAAUAUAUGGAGGAAGGUGCUCUGGUCUGAUGAGACUAACAUUGAACUUUUCAGCCAUCAAAGAAAACGCUAUGUCUGGCGCAAACCCAACAAAUCACGUCACCCAAAGAACACAAUCCCCACAGUAAAAAAACAUGGUGGUGGCAGCAUCAUGCUGUGGGGAUGUUUUUCAGCAGAUGGGACUCGGAAACUGGUCAGAGUUGAGGGACAGAUGGAUGGUGCUAAAUACAGGGAUAUUCUUGAGCAAAACCUGUACCACUCUGUGUGUGAUUUGAGGCUAGGAUGUAGAGUCACCUUCCAGCAGGACAAUGACCCCAAACACACUGCUAAAGCAACACUUGAGUGGUUUAAGGGGAAACAUGUAAAUGUGUUGAAAUGGCCUAGUCAAAGCCCAGACCUCAAUCCAAUAGAAAAUCUGUGGUCAGACUUAAAGAUUGCUGUUCACAAGCGCAAACCAUCCAACUUGAAGGAGCUGGAGCAGUUUUGCAAGGAGGAAUGGGCAAAAAUCCCAGUGGUAAGAUAUGGCAAGCUCAUAGAGACUUAUCCAAAGUGACUUGGAGCUGUGAUUGCCGCAAAAGGUGGCUCUAUAAAGUAUUGACUUUAGGGGGUUGAAUAGUUAUACACAUUGACUUUUUCUGUUUUUUUGUCCUAUUUGUUGUUUGCUUCACAAUAAUAAUAAAAAAAAAAAACAUCUUCAACGUUGUGGGCAUGUUCUGUAAAUUAAAUGAUGCAAAUCAUCAAACAAUCCAUGUUAAUUCCAGGUUGUGAGGCAACAAAACACGAAAAAUGAGAAUGGGGUGAAUACUUUUGCAAGGCAUUGUACAUACUCACAGAUACACACUGACACACACAGAUGUACACAUACCUAAA